GACGAACGCUGGCGGCGUGCUUAACACAUGCAAGUCGAACGCUGAACCCGCUUCGGUGGGGGAUGAGUGGCGAAUGGGUGAGUAACACGUGGGCAACCUGCCCCCGGCUCUGGGAUAACUCCAAGAAAUUGGGGCUAAUACCGGAUGUGACCGCUGGCCGCAUGGUCUGGUGGUGGAAAGGGUUUCCGGCUGGGGAUGGGCCCGCGGCCUAUCAGCUUGUUGGUGGGGUAGUGGCCUACCAAGGCGACGACGGGUAGCCGGCCUGAGAGGGUGACCGGCCACACUGGGACUGAGACACGGCCCAGACUCCUACGGGAGGCAGCAGUGGGGAAUAUUGCGCAAUGGGCGGAAGCCUGACGCAGCGACGCCGCGUGGGGGAUGACGGCCUUCGGGUUGUAAACCUCUUUCAGCAGGGACGAAGCGCAAGUGACGGUACCUGCAGAAGAAGCACCGGCCAACUACGUG
rnacentral:rRNA from 1 species